UGAAAUCUGGCUUUCGGGCCCGAGUUGUAAUUUGUAGAGGAUGAUUUUGAUGCGGUGCCUUCCGAGUUCCCUGGAACGGGACGCCAUAGAGGGUGAGAGCCCCGUCUGGUUGGAUGCCAAAUCUCUGUAAAUCUCCUUCGACGAGUCGAGUAGUUUGGGAAUGCUGCUCUAAAUGGGAGGUAUAUGUCUUCUAAAGCUAAAUACCGGCCAGAGACCGAUAGCGCACAAGUAGAGUGAUCGAAAGAUGAAAAGCACUUUGAAAAGAGAGUUAAAAAGUACGUGAAAUUGUUGAAAGGGAAGCGUUUAUGACCAGACUUGGGCUUGGUUAAUCAUCUGGGGUUCUCUCCAGUGCACUUUUCCAGCCCAGGCCAGCAUCAGUUUUCGCCGGGGGAUAAAGACUUCGGGAAUGUGGCUCCCCUCGGGGAGUGUUAUAGCCCGUUGUGUAAUACCCUGGUGGGGACUGAGGUUCGCGCUUCUGCAAGGAU
rnacentral:rRNA from 3 species